rnacentral:misc_RNA from 1 species
CUUCGAACAGAAGUUCGACGACAUAUCGGCGACCAUAAGCGAAUCUUUAUUGGUCGGUGUUGGGUAGUCUUUGAACUCGACACCGUGGAUCGUCUCAUUAGAGCAGAUGUGAAGGAAUCGGGCAUCCGGGUUCUGUUCGAUGGAGUCGAAUGACGGGAUCUUGGUGUACUUUUCCGGCUUGCCGGACCAGACGACAGUGGGCUUGCAGUACUUCUGCGCUUCUUUGUAGGCCUUGUCGCCCCAGGAUCCGGUGACGAUGUAGUCGGUGGGGGAGUCAGGGGUGCAGAGGUUGAGGGGGAGGGCGGCGAACUGGGUGGUAGCGCCGCCCUGGAGGAAGAGGACGGCGUAAUCGUCGGGGAUGGAGAGAAGGAGGCGGAGAUCGGAUUCGGCUUUCUUGAUGACGGCGUCGAACUCCUUGCUGCGGUGGCUCAUCUCCAUAAUGCUCAUGCCGGAUCCGCGGUAGUUGAAGAGCUCGGCUUGGGCUUUGAGGAUGACGGAUUCGGGGAGGUUGGCAGGGCCAGCGGCGAAGUUAAAGACGCGAUCUUUCGCCGUGACGGUGGACGGCGGAGGGGCAUCGCGGAGGGCGGUGCAUGAGAUUGAGAGGGUGGAUCUGGGGCGGCGUGGGGAGAGGAAGGUAGGGAUUUUGAGGGUGGGGCGCUGGAGGAGCAGGGAGUGGGGGGAGGCGGUAGCGCCGCCAGCUGCGGCGGUGGCGACGGCGGACAUUGUCGGAGUCGAGGGAUUGGUGGGAAACGUGCUGGACAUCGCGAAUUUGGUGGUGAUUGGC